rnacentral:rRNA from 1 species
GUGGGGAAUAUUGGACAAUGGGCGCAAGCCUGAUCCAGCCAUACCGCGUGGGUGAAGAAGGCCUUCGGGUUGUAAAGCCCUUUUGUUGGGAAAGAAAUCCUGUCGGUUAAUACCUGGCGGGGAUGACGGUACCCAAAGAAUAAGCACCGGCUAACUUCGUGCCAGCAGCCGCGGUAAUACGAAGGGUGCAAGCGUUACUCGGAAUUACUGGGCGUAAAGCGUGCGUAGGUGGUGGUUUAAGUCCGUUGUGAAAGCCCUGGGCUCAACCUGGGAAUUGCAGUGGAUACUGGAUCACUAGGGUGUGGUAGAGGGAUGCGGAAUUUCUGGUGUAGCAGUGAAAUGCGUAGAGAUCAGAAGGAACAUCCGUGGCGAAGGCGGCAUCCUGGGCCAACACUGACACUGAGGCACGAAAGCGUGGGGAGCAAACAGGAUUAGAUACCCGAGUAGUCC